rnacentral:sRNA from 1 species
GUAUCCCCCAAACCAAGGGGGAUGAGAACCACCGACCGGGGUUCGACAACUGGCGCAGCCAGUUGGACAGACGACGAGCUUGCGAGGAGACUGCCCGAAGGGCGAGCGCAGCGAGUCAAUCCCCCCCUCACAGCCA